rnacentral:rRNA from 1 species
GACGAACGCUGGCGGCGUGCUUAACACAUGCAAGUCGAACGGAAAGGCCCUGCUUUUGUGGGGUGCUCGAUUGGCGAACGUGUGAGUAACACGUGAUUACCCUCCCUUUUCCUUUGGUUUAUCUUCUGGAACCUGGGCCUAUUCCCGGUUCGGUGCUCUUCCUUCUUGUUGGGGUUUGGAAUUUUUCGGCGGUUGGGGAUGGACUCGCGGCUUAUCAGUUUGUUGGUGGGGUAGUGGCUUACCAAGGCUUUGACGGGUAGCCGGCCUGAGAGGGUGACCGGCCACAUUGGGACUGAGAUACGGACCAGAGUCCUACGGGAGGCAGCAGUGGGGAAUAUUGCACAAUGGGCGGAAGCCUGAUGCAGCAACGCAGCGUGCGGGAUGACGGCCUUCGGGUUGUAAACAGCUUUCGCAUGUGACGAAGCGUGAGUGACGGUAAUGGGUAAAGAAGCACCGGCUAACUACGUG